AGAGUUUGAUCCUGGCUCAGGAUGAACGCUAGCGGCAGGCCUAAUACAUGCAAGUCGAACGGUAUAAGUUGUAGCAAUAUGACUUAGAGAGUGACGUAAGGGUGCGUAACACGUAUGCAAUCUACCCUCAACAGGAGUAUAGCUCGGGGAAACUCGGAUUAACACUCCAUAAUAUCAUUUGAAGGCAUCUUCAGAUGAUUAAAACUGUGGUGGUUGAGGAUGAGCAUGCGUCUGAUUAGUUAGUUGGAGGUGUAACGGACCCCCAAGACGAUGAUCAGUAGGGGAACUGAGAGGUUGAUCCCCCACACUGGCACUGAGAUACGGGCCAGACUCCUACGGGAGGCAGCAGUAGGGAAUAUUGGUCAAUGGGUGAGAGCCUGAACCAGCCAUGCCGCGUGCAGGAAGACGGCCUUCUGGGUUGUAAACUGCUUUUAUCUGGGGAUAAAAAGCCCAUGCGUGGGACAUUGAAGGUACCAGAUGAAUAAGCACCGGCUAACUACGUGCCAGCAGCCGCGGUAAUACGUAGGGUGCAAGCGUUGUCCGGAUUUAUUGGGUUUAAAGGGUGCGUAGGCGGUCUAUUAAGUCAGUGGUGAAAUCCAACAGCUCAACUGUUGAUGUGCCAAUGAUACUGAUGGACUUGAGUACAGACGAGGUAGGCGGAAUUGACAGUGUAGCGGUGAAAUGCAUAGAUAUUGUCAAGAACACCGAUAGCGAAGGCAGCUUGCUAGCCUGUAACUGACGCUGAGGCACGAAGGUAUGGGGAUCAAACAGGAUUAGAUACCCUGGUAGUCCAUACAGUAAACGAUGAUUACUCGAUGUUGGCGAUACACAGUCAGCGUCUUAGCGAAAGCGAUAAGUAAUCCACCUGGGGAGUACGCUGGCAACAGUGAAACUCAAAGGAAUUGACGG
rnacentral:rRNA from 1 species